UACGGAGGGAGCUAGCGUUGUUCGGAAUUACUGGGCGUAAAGCGCGCGUAGGCGGCGAUUCAAGUCAGAGGUGAAAGCCCGGGGCUCAACCCCGGAACUGCCUUUGAAACUAGAUUGCUAGAAUCUUGGAGAGGUCAGUGGAAUUCCGAGUGUAGAGGUGAAAUUCGUAGAUAUUCGGAAGAACACCAGUGGCGAAGGCGACUGACUGGACAAGUAUUGACGCUGAGGUGCGAAAGCGUGGGGAGCAAACAGG
rnacentral:rRNA from 1 species